CCAUCUGAGAACCACUUGAACAACUUUCACCAACCAGUGAAGCAAUUUAAUAAUUCUCCACUUUUGACAGGUCCAGCUCACAGUUUUCAGAUAUCCCUCCAUCUCCUAAUGACACCAGAUACAAAGUCCCUGUACAUCAGAAUGGUACAGAAUAUAAUAUUAAAAGAGCUGUCCCAGAUGAUGAGGAGAGAAGCACCACCCAAGAUGCCAGAUACAAGAGUCCUAGAGCCACAGAACGUGAAGAACCUGAUCGGAAUGACACGGAGCCCUGCACUUCUGAAAGAGAGAGCAGCACUAUUGCCCAAGAGGUUCAAUACAACGUCCCUGUGCAUCUGGAUGAUGAAGAAUUUGAUCUUAAAAGCUCUAUCCCAGCUUAUGAAGAGGGAAGCACUAGCAGAGAGAGGGGACAGGAGCAGACUCGAGCAACAGAUUACUACACAGCAGAAAUGAGCACAAGAGGGUUUUCCAGUUUCAGGAACAAUACUGAAAAUACUGAGAAUCUGAAAGUACCUGCUACAAAUGACACUCAGUGUGAGCCUCUACCUGCCAGAAAGCAUGCUAAGCCUGACCCGAACGUGGCAAAAUAUAUCCCAGAUGACAAAGAGAGAAGCAUUAGCAGAGACACAAGAUAUGAGAGAUCUAGCCCCACAUCUAGAGACAGCAGCAUCUGUACGUCAGAGAUCCAACAUGUAGAGCACAAUGAGCCUGAUUUGAACAUAGCAAGGACUUCUCCAGCUAAUGAAGAGAGACUUUCCACCCCAACGGGGACCAGUCAUGACACUCCUAGAGUCAUGAGUCACAAUGAGCCUG
rnacentral:lncRNA from 1 species